rnacentral:rRNA from 1 species
UACGAAGGGGGCUAGCGUUGUUCGGAAUUACUGGGCGUAAAGCGCACGUAGGCGGAUAUGUAAGUCAGGGGUGAAAUCCCGGGGCUCAACCUCGGAACUGCCUUUGAUACUGUUGGUCUUGAGUCCGGAAGAGGUGAGUGGAAUUCCUAGUGUAGAGGUGAAAUUCGUAGAUAUUAGGAAGAACACCGGUGGCGAAGGCGGCUCACUGGUCCGGUACUGGACACUGAGGUGCGAAAGCGUGGGGAGCAAACAGGG